rnacentral:rRNA from 1 species
AACGCGGGCGGCGUGCCUAACACAUGCAAGUCGAACGCGAAAGUCCCGCAAGGGAUGAGUAGAGUGGCAAACGGGUGAGUAACACGUGGGUGACCUGCCUUCGAGCGGGGGAUAACGUCCCGAAAGGGACGCUAAUACCGCACGACAUCCUGUUUUUUAAGAGAUGGUGAUCAAAGCCGGGGAUCGCAAGACCUGGCACUCGAAGAGGGGCCCGCGCCUGAUUAGCUAGUUGGUGAGGUAACGGCUCACCAAGGCAACGAUCAGUAUCCGGCCUGAGAGGGCGGACGGACACACUGGGACUGAGACACGGCCCAGACUCCUACGGGAGGCAGCAGUGGGGAAUUGUUCGCAAUGGGCGCAAGCCUGACGACGCAACGCCGCGUGGAGGAUGAAGAUCUUCGGGUCGUAAACUCCUUUCGAUCGAGACGAACGGCCCUGGGGUGAAUAAUCCCGGGGAGUGACGGUACCGAGAGAAGAAGCCCCGGCUAACUCCGUGCCAGCAGCCGCGGUAAUACGGGGGGGGCAAGCGUUGUUCGGAAUUACUGGGCGUAAAGGGCUCGUAGGCGGCCAACUAAGUCGGACGUGAAAUCCCUCGGCUUAACCGGGGAACUGCGUCCGAUACUGGAUGGCUUGAGUGUGGGAGAGGGAUGCGGAAUUCCAGGUGUAGCGGUGAAAUGCGUAGAUAUCUGGAGGAACACCGGCGGCGAAGGCGGCAUCCUGGACCAUGACUGACGCUGAGGAGCGAAAGCCAGGGGAGCAAACGGGAUUAGAUACCCCGGUAGUCCUGGCCCUAAACGAUGAAUGCUUGGUGUGGCGGGUAUCGAUCCCUGCCGUGCCGAAGCUAACGCAUUAAGCAUUCCGCCUGGGGAGUAC